UAUGGGAAGAACCAUAUGUGUAAGUAACUGUGCACAUCUUGACGGUACUUAAUCAGAAAGCCACGGCUAAUUACGUGCCAGCAGCCGCGGUAAUACGUAGGUGGCAAGCGUUAUCCGGAAUUAUUGGGCGUAAAAGCGCGCGUAGGCGGUUUUUAAGUUUGAUGUGAAAGCCCACGGCUCAACCGUGGAGGGUCAUUGGAAACUGGAAAACUUGAGUGCAGAAGAGGAAAGUGGAAAUUCCAUGUGUAGCGGUGAAAUGCGCAGAGAUAUGGAGGAACACCAGUGGCGAAGGGAGACUUUCUGGUCUGUAACUGACGCUGAUGUGCGAAAGCGUGGGGAUCAAACAGGAUUAGAUACCCUGGUAGUCCACGCCGUAAACGAUGAGUGCUAAGUGUUAGGGGGUUUCCGCCCCUUAGUGCUGCAGCUAACGCAUUAAGCACUCCGCCUGGGGAGUACGACCGCAAGGUUGAAACUCAAAGGAAUUGACGGGGACCCGCACAAGCGGUGGAGCAUGUGGUUUAAUUUGAAGCAACGCGAAGAACCUUACCAAAUCUUGACAUCCUUUGACAACUCUAGAGAUAGAGCCUUCCCCUUUGGGGGACAAAGUGACAGGUGGUGCAUGGUUGUCGUCAGCUCGUGUCGUGAGAUGUUGGGUUAAGUCCCGCAACGAGCGCAACCCUUAAGCUUAGUUGCCAUCAUUAAGUUGGGCACUUUAAGUUGACUGCCGGUGACAAACCGGAGGAAGGUGGGGAUGACGUCAAAUCAUCAUGCCCCUUAUGAUUUGGGCUACACACGUGCUACAAUGGACAAUACAAAGGGCAGCGAAACCGCGAGGUCAAGCAAAUCCCAUAAAGUUGUUCUCAGUUCGGAUUGUAGUUUGCAACUUGACUACAUGAAGCUGGAAUCGCUAGUAAUCGUAGAUCAGCAUGCUACGGUGAAUACGUUCCCGGGUCUUGUACACACCGCCCGUCACACCACGAGAGUUUGUAACACCCGAAGCCGGUGGAGUAACCUUUAGGAGCUAGCCGUCGAAAGGUGNANA
rnacentral:rRNA from 1 species